AGUUAGCAAGCAGUGUAGCAGUACCAUCAGUACAACCCUCUGCCGUAAGAACGGCAGACAGAAAAGAUGAAUUCGCCAAUAUUUUAGCGUGCCAUAAUUAUGGUUGGCUUAUCUUCGCGCGCUACGCCUCGACCUAAUUAUGUCAUGGGUUGAGCGCCACCCCUUAUGGGAGACUUUCAAAAUACUUUGCCUUGACCUGUUAUGAGAUCCGCACAAGAAGGAAGAAUCUUCAGAUGCUAAAGUUUGCGACAAGAGCACUUUUUUGACUCGAACGGGAGGUCGAUGCACUCCAGUUCGGCAGUCAGAGAUUGCAAAUUCUUAAGAGAUGCUUCGGCUAAACUCGCGCAAUUAUUGCAAUUGUAAUGUUGCUCGAGUUCUAGAGAACCGAAGUUGUUCUAAUUGCACCUCUACUGAGGGUUCUAGGACUUCGACUCGGUCACUUUUACCCUGAUCGUGGAGGAAGCAGGAGUGGUCGAAGGACCGUUUUGGAAUCGUUUGAGUUAGAUCUCGCGGCUAGUGGUAGAAUUAGGAGUAGGGUAGUGGCGAACCAGAUUGAAACCCUGAAACUCCAGGUGGCAACCGGCAUCAUCCGUAGCAGAGCGACCACUCCAACCGACAACCCAGCGCUUCUGGACUCCACCAAGGGGUCGAAGUUCCGGGGUGAACCCCCAAGCAGCUCGUCCGUCAACAUACGAGCUGGGCGGCGUCCAUCAACACCUGCCGCGGUCGAACCCUCGACAGCCAACCGACCGAACCGGGACGGCCUCGUGGAGGCCUAGGUACACCACCAAGUUCCCGCGCGCAUCCGCGCCGUCGUCGCAACCGACGCUAUCAUCGCAGCAUCGUAGCUGCACACCUGUGCGCCCCCGCACACCGGAAGUGAUGCCGAACGCACGCCGUUAGUGCCAACCCGUCUGCUGUUAGCCGCCGGCCGAACCAUCUCGCCGUGGCCGAAGCGGUAAGCGCGCCACCACCUGCUCGCCGGAUCGCCAACCAACACACGUAAAACCAUGGUCGUGUAAGUACUUUUUCCCCCGACAUGCGCAUGAUCGAUCGUUGGCCAAGACUUUUUCCGCCAACCCAGGGUGCAACAUAAGCCACCCCCACAUGUUGCGUGAUCGCAAAC